ensembl:snoRNA
UGCCACAGUGCAAUCACCUGUUGGGGUUUUCCUGCACUGUGGACUAAUCCCUGGGCUACAGUGGCUAUAGAACAUCAGGUUUUGCUUUCACCUCUGCAUCAUUGGUUGCUUAGUGGUGACAAUGAGCCCUGACACACUC